AUUGGAUGAUGGGCAAAGGGAAUGAGAAUAAUGUACGCCAACUCUCUUGCCUGAGACCAAGGCCCAAGGCCCAACCCUGGGCACCCUGCUUCCUCACCCUCCUCCACACCCGUGACUAUGGAGGCAAAGUUGUCGUCCAGCAGGAUCAUGUCGGCCGCCUGCUUAGACACGUCAGAGCCGGCGAUGCCCAUGGCGAUGCCGAUGUCCGCCUUCUUCAGCGCAGGGGAGUCGUUCACCCCGUCCCCCGUCACCGCCACAAUGGCUCCCUGGGUGAAGCAGAGAGGGAGUGAACUAAUGACCACGCCAGAUUCAGGCACAGUCCCAAAGAGCGUGGAAAUAAGCCUUGAAGGAGUUUUCCCAGGAGCCCUCCUCAUUCCACACUGGCACCGCGGGCUGACUGGAAGAAGUGCUAACAAAGCUGGGAUUUACCAGAGACUCAGGAAAGUUGCACUCUGAGCAGUCACCCAUAUCAUUGAUUUCAAGUUCCCUGGUCAGUCCUGGGGCGCCAGAUCCUCACCAGACUCUGCCAGUGAGGUAUGGCCUAACUGGCAAGGAUCUGAGGGAAACGGCACAGAAGAUUAGAAGAUUCCAGAUGUGGUGCAGAUGGAGCCUUCAGUGAUGCCUUUCAGGCUCCACUGCCCUGCAAGUCUCCCAGUGGUUCAUCCAUCGUGACCUACAGCACAGGUGUGGUACCUAGCCCAGGCCGACCGUUCAGAUGGGCUGCUCUACAGUAGUUUCUGGAAAUACCACCUCCAUGCCAGGCUGGAGAAAUAAAAACAAAGUCAUCUCCCCAA